ACAACUGAAGAACUAAUACUGCAGUGUGGUAUACAGGCAGAUUUACUUGAACUUACAGACGUACAAACUGUUAAAUGGUCAAGUUCUAGCUACGCUAGCGUCUUUGCACUUCCUGAUCGGGAAUAUAUACACUUUGUGGGAUCUGUCACGCCUCCUUCUGCCUGGUAUACACAUUCUCAGCAAGACCAUUCAAUGGACUCAAAGCCGGAUUUCAGGAAAACUAGAAACCUCGCUAUGGUCUGCGAAGUGUAUAAAACUAAGACGGCGCAGCCCACACUAUUGACACCUAUGGCCCAUUACCAUCUCGCCGGCAUUAUAUCUGGCAUGCACACACUUUGUAUUCGUAAGUGUUUUGGCCAUAAAUUUAACCAUAUACUACUUCAAUGUUGCUGUCGUGGCCGUGGCUCAACUUUUGUUACAUGCAUAAAUCAAAAUGUUGAUUUAUAAUAAUUGCAAAAAAAAAAAACAUACACACACACAAGCACGGAGUGAGAACACAGUCACAGAAUGCUUUGAAUUGUCGGCCACAUGUCAACCGAGUCACAAAAAAUACAACAGCAAAAAUAAAACAUUUGGACUCGGGUGCAAAAGGUCUUGCAGCUAUGGGCCAGACUUAUUUUAGACUAUGGAGGCAACAACAAUCUAACAAACGAAUCACAACUAACCAAAACACAGGGCCAAAUGAAUUUGUGGCGCCAAAGGGGAAACAAAAUAAAUACAGGAUAAGAAUACGUGAAAAGCAGGCGCAACAAAUCGAUUUACGACUAGAGAAAAAACAAUGAACAAAAGAAAGAAAGAGAGCAAGGGAGAGAUUGGAAAGAAACCAUGUUUGGCUAGUUCCAGGAAACAUCAAUGACUUUACUAAAAAUGGAUGAUCCAAGCGUAAAAUCCUCGCUACAACUAUUGGAACAUACUUUCAAAGGAAUCCUCGUUGAAUUGAGCUAAAUGGGUAAUACUACAUCUGAUAUAAUAGAAAUACUAUUACUUAAAAUGCUUCAAGACUUGAAAUUUGAAAUAUAGAUAUGCUCGCUUUGACACCCUUAGCUCAGAAGGAUAUAGUUCAUAUAUUUAAGCCGAUUGUAGAGCUGACGGAUCGGAAAAAAACUUUAUUCAAUACAGUUUUAGACAAAGAAACUCAAAAUUUCACGACUACUAUUAGUUCAAUAUUAGUUUACCAAUAAAAUAUAUACACAUAUGUCGCUAGUGGGUGUGGAAAUAAAAAAUUAA